rnacentral:tRNA from 1 species
GGAUGUGUGGCUGAGAGCCCAAAGCCGUUUGACUAACAACCAAUGGGGUUCGAGUUCAAAUCUCGACUCGAUCA